rnacentral:lncRNA from 1 species
GUCCACUUGUUCAGGGCUGAGCCAGGACACCCACCCCAGCCAGUAGCUCAUGCUCUGCUGUUUUGCAAGGAGCCGCCUCUCCUCAUGCAGCUGAGCAGUCGUGAGGGCUGCCCACAGGGCCAGGCCUGGGCAAAGCCAGUGGCCAGGCCCAGGUGCUCCCACUGGCACAGCCCCAUGGCACAGUGGCUCUCCACCCCUCUCAGGAGCAUUUCCCAAAGAUGAUGAUGCUCUUUCUCUGUUCUCUUUUCAGGUGCCUUCUUCCCCCUGAACCAACCACAGCUCUUGCUGAAGCAGUCAGGCUGAGCUAUGUUCUUACAGGACCUAAGCAAAGCUGAAGCUGCACAAAAGGGAUUUAGCUGAGCGCAAGCUGCAGCCCAUGAAACACCUCAUUAUAAGUUUGCCAUUCUGAUCAUAGGAGACUUUUUGUAUAUUAGUCAGAACUAAAUUACUGUUUCUUCACUGGUACUGUAAGAAAGUGUAGGUCUAUUUGUGACCUGAAAAACAGUGGUUUCCUUUUCUUCUUUUACCUGUGAUCAGUAUUCUGUCCCUUGCAGUAAUUAUACUGUUGUGAUAAAAUCAAAGCUCAAUAUUAAUGUACUAUGUUCUGGAAUAUGUCUCAGAAUCAAUUGCUAAGGAUCGAUUAGCACACACUCCCAGCUAACACAGCAUUACUAAUAUUACCUGAUUAUAUGUAGCCUUGUUUAUCAGACAGUGGAUGUAUUUUCAGACAUCUGCGUAUAUCCAUGGCUUUUCUCACAUUGUUAUCUUUUAAAUCUCUUCCUACUUUUCUCAGUUUUCUUCAACAGCUUUCCAGCCCUGAGCAGCACUGGACCAAGCCGUGGUGUUGGUUCUCCAGAGCAGCAGCAGCAGCAGCCCUAGCAGCCAUCCCUUCUCUGAGCGUGGAAGUCUGUGUUUCCUGAAUCAACACACUCAGCACUUGGCUUUUUCUUCCCGCUAUUACUCAGAUUACAGCCCUGAUCACAUCGUGCACUACACACAUCGCUUAUGCUGCUGGUACGUGUUUUGUAGCCAUGAGAACAGCGAGCAGACAAUUCACUAAACUUUGUAAUUGAUCACUAAUGGAUGUGGUAAAGUUCUCCACCAGUCUGAGUCCCUAAAUCAGAGCUGGCUGUCUUUCAGAAAGGGAUGGUCAUACUCAUCUAGAAUAGAUUGGGGUGAUGCAGAGAUAAUAGGGCAAAAUAAUGGCACGGCUGCUUCUAUGCAGGAGAUCAGUUUAAAUGCUGGUCUCUUUUAAUCUUACUUUUUUUUUUUCACAAGGAAGGUGGUACAUACGCCCAUCAGCAUACAUGGUAGACUGCAGCUGGGUAUUAACACUUUCAUUUAUGCAGGGCUGUGCAGCUCUGGGUAGAGCUGUUGUUCUGCCUCCCAAGCACCUGUUCAGGAAAAGAUCUUAAAACACAUUGUUUCAUAUUAAAAAAAAAUAUCAGUCUUUUGCUUCCAGCAUCUGGUGCAGAAGGACAGCCCUGCUCUUCCUUCGGUUACAGAGCAGUUGUGUUGCACAGCUUGCUAGGUAAGGACAGGCCAGCACAAUUGUAUUGGUGCCAAGAAUAUUGCUGCUGAUUGAGAUCACUGAACCAUGUCAGAGCUCAGCUGCAUCCAUGUCAGAGAAGCAUGUCUGAGACUAGUUACAGCUAACAAGCCUCUAUUUGACAGGGAAAGUAAAAAAAAAAAAGGACCAGAGUGAGAUUUAUGACAAUUUCAAGUACAGAAUAUGCAAUAUGAACAGAUGAGCCCUUAUAAUGUUAAGGUCCGUUUUACAUACAAAUACUUUCUGUGGCUAGAAAAAGAGAAAUUCAGAAAAUAAUAGAAAGAGAUACAACAAACCCUUCUUCAAGUAAAGUUUUUCUGCAUCUCCCAUGGGAUUCUGUUGAAUGGUUGAAGGCAAAAAAAAAAAAAAAAAGGAAGAACAGAAACUGCUUGCAACACAGAGCAAACCUUGAGUGCCAAGAACAUGCUCUGGAUUUUUGUGUAAGAUGUCUGGUUCUUAUCUCAGCCCUGAUUCAUCACAGUUUACUCUCAGAAUUAUUUGGAAUUCAAGGACCUUGCUCCUAUGGUGUUAAUGGGUUAUGUUCAGCACAGAAACCUGUGACACAAAGCAAUGUUUAAUUAUUCAGUCCAGACUGAUUUUUGUGGUUAAAUGAAAUAAAAAUAGCAAGAAGACCAAUUAUAUUGUUUUACAUGACUUACAUUUUGUAGGUGAAAUAUUUUUUCUCUUAACCAUGUAAUCCAGGACUGCACACAGGAAAGAGGAGCCACAUAAAAGAGGGGUUGGGCUGCUUGUGACAUGGAGGUUCAGCCUGCACAUGACUGAAGAGGAGAAGGAAAGCAUUGCCAUAAAAGUGACAGUAGAAGUGAAGAAUUGUGGUGGAUGUGUAAUGCACCACUGAAAGGAGAAAACAUACAAAGCUGGAAAUCUUAUCAUGUCUGGAGUCUUUCUAUUCCAAAGCAGGAUUUGAAGGGAAGAAGCUACAGCCCUUGUUGGCUCACAUCCCUUUCUUCAUAUAUGGGGAAAAAAAAUGUUGAAGCGAUAUGAUUACCAUAAUUGCUACCUCUGUUCAGAAAGACAAGGUGGUUUUCCACCCUGAAUUCAGCUCAGCCAGCCACCGUAGUACCAGUCAGGAACUAAUGCCACAAGCUGCAGCCACAAAUGUAUUGUCUCACACUUCAAAUGCACCAUACAGGAUGCUAAGGCACAUUACAGAUGCAGAAGCGCUGAAGUAUUAUGCAGCAUUCCUGUUACAAGGAAUUUGCAGGUAGCUAACCAAUGAUACAGUGUCAAACAAACACUGUCAAAGGUAUGCUGCUCCAAUAGCUAGCAAAGCCAAUUUGAAAUGAUGGUUCUAAACAUGGGUUUUCUAUGAAGGCUCAGGCUUAACAUAUAAUUAUCUGAGCUCUGUUUGGAGGGCAUGCUGUGGCACUAGGUUGGAAAUAGGCAGGUCAAAGAAAUAAACAAGAUCAUUUCAAGCCAAAAUCAUCACCAAAUGCAGUCCUGCUGUGCAAAGGAGAAAUCACAACAGGAUAAUAACUCCCAAACCUCCUCAGCUGUUGUCUAGCUGCAGCUGCCCAGGGGAUAGGCUCAAGAUAGAGCUCUCCCUGCUGCAAGAGGCACUGAAGCUCUGGUUAAGCAGGUAUCUGUGGUUUGGUAUAAAUUUUAAAGUCAAACUGGCUAAAUGACUUGCUGUAUAGGUAAAGCCUUGCAGUUUUCAUUGCUGUUCUCUUGCCUUCUCGCUCUGCUUUGUUGCAGUAACUGGUCUGCCUUGGUGGAUUUGGUUGUAAGUGGCCAUUCACAGCUGGCUCUAAUUUAAAAAUUCAAGGUGGUGGAGGGGCAGCUUUUAACCCAAAACAUUUUCUGAACUUCUUUAUUUUUUAAGAAGUCUUUCACUUGUAAGGUAUGUAAACUAAAACUGUUUGAAUGACAGAGUUUGGGAACUUUGGAAAGUUUGUGUUUAAGUUCUGUUUCACCUCUGCUUUCCUAUUCUUUUCUCCUCCUGUCUCCUUUUGUUUUCAAUUGUAUCACUGAAAAGAGGGGCAAUGAGAGGAAAACAAAAUAAUGGAGAAAAUAAUAGAGUAUUAACGUACUACUUUUCCUUUAAAUGCAUGAGGAAGUUGUGAUUAUUUCUCAAUUUAUUUAUUUAUUUAUUUUUCCAAAACAAAGAAAAAAUAUUAACUGUAUAGCUUUCUUUUUCACCAUGGUAUUUCAUACUGCUUACUGGUGAGAUGAUGGUUAAUAUUUAGAUAACCCAAGAAUGAGGAGACAGUGGUGUGUUCUUAGCAGAAUUAGCAUAAUGGAUGUACGAGGAGGAAAGAUAGAGUGCAGCCAUCGUGUGUUAGGCACAGAAGGGUUAUUGUCUGUGCCCCAAGAAGUAAGGAGUUGUUCUGCAAGUGAUGGUGGAGGAAAGGGAGUUUUGUACUCCCUUUGUGAUACAGAAAGAAAAGCAUUGCUGCGUAAAUGAUAGUCAAAGAGGAAAAGUAAAUUGCGUAUGACAGAGAAGAGUGGAGUAGUGUGACAUAAGUUGGAAAGUGUCCUUUGAAAGUCGAAAAGAAAAAAAAAGAGAGAGAGAAGAGGGACUGUAGUUGUGCAAGUAGGACUGGAAGGCAAGGUUUGCUAUGGGGGAAGAGUAAAAAUAAUAAUAAUAAAAAAAAAGUUGUAUGGCUAAGAAAAGAAGCACAAUUUAUUUCACAACCAAGCACUUGAAAUUUACAGGCAAAACAGUCCCCAUGCACAUGUAGUGCUGUGUCUCUGUAGUUAAAAGGAACACACCAUUUUCAGAAAUAUUUUGAGCAAUAAUUGAGUAAUGAUAUCUGAAAAGAUGCUUGCACAUAAAACCGAGAUCAGGAAGCACAAUAGGUGUACUGAGCUACUAUUCCUUAUUUUUCAUGGUUAGGAUUUCCAGUCUCCCAGCAAUAAGACAGAAGGGUCAUAACUACUUACCUAUAGAGAAGCAGUGAAAGCAUAGAUGGAAGAGUUUUGUUGCUCUUGCGACAGAAAGAAGAACUGUUUGGGGCAUUUUCAGUGUCCAUGUCUACGUUCACAUUUCCACACCAUAUUCCACUUUGGCAGUCCUUCUGUAAGAUGUUAGGUAAUGGCAUGGGCUGUGGUGCACUUCAUUGGUUUUGUAUCAUGAGAAAGUAGAAAUAAGACCUUAAAAUAUUAAUUAUUUAUAUAUUUAUUAUGGCAGUACCUGGUUAAAGACUUCCAGUUAUUUGGGAAUUGGUUUGUUUUCAUACAAUGAUCCUGACACCCAGUUACUCAAACAUAUCACGCUCAAACACAGUGCAACACUUGGUACCAGGAACCACAUUUCAGAGGUGAAGCUGGGGUCAGACGCAUUCCUGCUAAUUGUACUGAUUGCAGGAGGGUUAUUCCCUGGUUGAAUUUGUUCUCUGAUGUUAAAAGGGAUAGCUGCUAAUUGCCUCUAAGGAGGACUCAGAAACAGAAAUGGGAGCUGGACAGUAACUCCCUGCCCAUGCACACACACACAGAUAAGUGUGCUAAUCUUUUGGGGGAGUGUGGUAUGUGAGGAGCAAGUGCAGGUCAAGCUAUGCAGGGGCUUGGAGUGUGAUACACAACCACUGAUGAAAAAUGUUUCUGCAUGCUCAUUUGUUUUGUAACAUUGAUAUUGACUGUGUAAAAGAAAUCUAGUAUAUUGACCUGAUUUAUUCAGAUCAGUUCUUCAAAUCAGUGAAGUGGCAUGGAUACCAGAUCAUUCCUGCAGUUCGUACAAUGUUCUGACCAGGCUCACAUUUGAAGCUUUUGCCUUUUUACAGUGUGCAUCUCCUGACCUUCAGGUACACUGCCCUGAAUGCACUGCCUUUGUGUGCUAUGAUGAUGGAGGCAGAAAAUUACCCUGAAGUUUAGCAGGCUUGGUUCACUGCUCAGCAGAGUUGGUGGAUGAUUUUCCAUUAGCUUCAAAAGUAAAGGAGCAGGGCAAAACAACUAACCCGAGUUGUUAUAAUCCUGUUUGUAGGCAAAGGAAAAUAUAGAGUGAUGCCAGCGAAGUGUCUGAAUUGGAAUGAUAAAGGCAAAUCUGGAACACCUUUGUAACUGUUACCUAGAAUGUUAAAGGUUACGUAAAUAAGACUGACUUUUAAAAUGAUUUCUUAUAAAAGCUCUGCAAAAUAUCCACAAUGCCAUUUGCAAUUGUACCGCCAUAUUAGUGUGUGGUAUGAGUUCACUGCACAUUUCCCAGGUGGCAAGCAGUGACUGUGGAGCAAGUUUUGAUCUGAUACCAGGAAAAACUCGGUCUUGAUCUGAAACUUGUCAAGUUUAGGAUGAGUCAGUGUGGACUUGAACAUGAUCUCUGUAAUCAAAAUCAACAUAAUCCUUGCGAAUGAAAAAUGUGAUCAGCAACUGCAUGCUAACAGCACCUAGGGCAAGUCUUCUGGACCCGCUGGAAAGCAACCAUGGCCAGAGAAAAGUGUUUUGUGCUGGCCCCAUAGAACCUGUGGUCAGGCAGCUUAUCAUUAAGUCUCCCCCUUACCAAAACAUUGUCCCCAGGCAGAAACAGCUUUUCUGUUAGGUAAGUGUCUGACAAGGUGUGUUUGCUUGCUGAGGAGUUGAGCGUGACCUAAUUAAAGGUGAUCUAGCGGUGCAGAGUUCCCACUUGAUUUUGUUCUUCCCACAGGCUGGUAUUUUGCAACCCAAGACUUCAGCUCAAAUCCAUUGUGCAGAAAUAGUUUUGAACAUAAGGCAAGGCAGGGGAAAACAAUUUUUUCAUUAACACACCUGAGCUGUCAGAGAUUCUGUUCCCUCUGUUGAGGACGAUGAAAUUGCCAAUCCCAAAUGCUCCCUGCCCUUCUCUGAGAGAUAAGUGACUUCAUCAACACGAGCAGAACAAACAAAGAGCUCCGAACCAAGAUCUUGGCAGGUUCAAACCUUCCCAGUCCAAGAUGAGAAAACAAGGAAACACUUAGAGCAGUGACAGCAUCUGAGCCUUUUAACAAAUGAAAGGACCUACAGGCUAACGAUAAAGGCUUUGGAGCCAAUCGGCCAAGCUCAUCCCUGCUUUAAACCUGUUAUUCUUCCAAUUCAAACAACAGAAAAGGGGCAAACAAGAGAAAUCCUUGGUAGCAAAUGUGAUUAGAUGAAGCAAACAGUAAGAGCUCUGCAGUAAGUGCAGUUCAUCACACAAUUAGUUCCUUCCCAGCUUCACCAUCCAGACAUCCCUUCUCUGGCACAGUGCCAGCCAGGCAGUCAGGACUGAGCUGGGGGAUUAGAAAGUCAUGGUAGAUAUUUUUCUUAAAUUUGAGGGGGAGGGGGAAAGAGAAAAAAGGGAUUUCAGUGCUAUCAUUUCAAUAUUUAUUUUCUCUUCUAUAAUUUUAGAAAGCAUAGAGAGAACAGAGCUAUAAACAAUAUCAUUUAAAACAUGGGCCACAUUACUGCAGGUGCUUACGAAACAGAAGCAGAGGUGACGUUUUAUGUAAUAUAUGUCUGUUCAGUUGGAGCAUUGGUUUGUUCUGGCUUUUUCUGUUUUUCUUUUUUAGGCAGUUGGAGUAGAGGAAUGAAAAUUAACCAGCGUUUCUCAAAAACAGUGGUUUGAUCAAAAAACAAGAUAUUGAAGUACUUCUGGAAAUAACAAGACUUGGUACCUGGCCUUUGGCUUCAGUGGGAUGGCUCCUGGCUCUUUAGAGGCUUUGCCUGAAUCCAUCAUGAGGUCACCAAGUAGGACUGCAAGAAGAUUUUGUUGAACCUGAACUUCUCAAUAGUGGAAAAAGCUCCUCCCCACUGGAUCACAGACGUACAAAAGCAGAGUGGUUUUAUUGCCUUAUCUCCUCAACAGGCAGACAUUCUUUCUCCUACAGAUCUCCAUCAUGGUAUGUUUUAACUUAGUACAAAAGAAGAUCAUCUGAGGAGUAAGGUGCCUGAUGGGGAAGAAGAGAUGCUUGUGUCCAGUUUCCAUGAUCCUGCUGACACUGGAGAUACCUGCUGUACAGGCUUUUUUACCUCACCUUGUUUGGUAUGUCCAAGCUCCCCAUUCCAUGACAGAGCCAAGCAGCUUCAGCCAGGCAUGAGGACCUUCAUACAUGAAAAGCAGUGAAGAGCCAUAUCCCUAAAGCAUGCAACUCUUGUAUAUGACAAAAGAUAAUGGGUGGAUACCAAGAAUUGAAGGUAACAGAAAGAAAGAGAGGACAUAUUUCCACAGCUUGGCAAAAGCAGUCUCCAAAGUCCUCAAACAGCUGUGGAAAAAUAGUGAAAGGAGAGCAAAUAGCCUGUUUGUCCUCUAUCUCAUGGACACAGUGCCUUGUGAGCCCUGGAGGGUAUCUGCUCAUAUCCAAGCUGUGAAAGCAGUUGCUGUGCCUGCCACAUCACAGCUUCAUAGACACACCAAUGCUUGCAGUACAGUCAAAAUAUGCUUUAAAGCCCAUUUCAGCAGCAAGCUCUCUGGAUUCUGUGCCAGGAAAUGUUAAUUACUGUGGUGCAGUGUUCUGUUUUCUGUGGUGCAAUAACAAUUAAUUUACACCAUUUGGAAAAACACUUUUUUAUUAAAAAUCAAUAGAAGCAAAUCAAUGCAAUGUAAAGCAUACAAUACCAAAAUGAAAAGCUCUUGUUUUUAUACUUGGGCAUCCUUAAUAAAAUUGCACUGUAGAUUCAGGCAGUUUGUCUAUUGUAAUCUAAUGAGAAGCUGUCAAGCUUCUUUUAAGCGUUCUGGAAAUUACCAUGUAUUGGGGCAGCCAUUUUUAGUCAAAGAAUUCAAUAAUUAACCCCCAAGUUGUAAGUCAAUAUGAUGAUGGUGCAGGUGCCGCUGCAUUUGUCUCUCUGCACUGCAUCACCUAUGCACCUGACAAUCUGUGGGACCCAUUUUGAAUCGAGAUGGAGGUUAAUUUUUAUUUAUAGUUAUAAUUAGAAAAACACUAGCUGUAAUGAAAACUGCUCCACCGCUGGAACAUAUCACCACAGAGUAAAUUCCACAGCAAUUUUUGCAUUUUAAUAGGUCAGAGAGUAACACAAAUGAAUUGCUUCUUCCUGGGGGAACUUGUUUAUUCUUUGGAAUUUAAUGAUUUACUGGAACACUGAUCUCAAAGAAAAAAAUCCCACAGUUGUUUUUCUACCAUUGCCUCAACUGCACAAGGUGCUGCAGACCCUGGGAAGGCAGCUCACACCUGUAAUUGUACAGCUCCUGAGGCUCCCCUGCACAAGGUACUGGGGCCUACCUGCCAGCUCCUCAGCACCCUGCUGCACAUGGCACAGGAGCUCAGGGACUUCUCCAGGAUGAUACAGCUCCACCACAGAAGUGCUCCCUCAGCCCACAGCAGGAUGCAUCCAGCUGCUACAGUAAGGAAUGCUUUACCCUUUAGGCACAAGCUGCUGUUCCCCUCCCCAUGGUCCACCGCCAUGGUCUGCACAUUUAUGAGUGCAGCCACAACUACAGCUGGUCUUCUCUGACUCAACCAGAGCAGGAAGAAGCAGGACAAUUUUAAUCCAAUGGAAGCACUCAUGGAAGCAGCCAAGGACAUAUCACUCUGGAAGGGCAGAUCAUCAUUUCCUUUCUCCAGACAGGACUACUAUGGGUUUGAGUUUGACUAUUUUAACGGUGAAUUGAUUUUUUGUGUGAAGUGAUCUAGGUAUGACAGUAGAUUUUUCAAAGUCAUUCGGUAGCUCAUGACAGUGGGCUGGGAGGACAGGUGUCAUCAAAUAAAAAGGUAUGAAGUGGACUAAUUUAAAAGGAACGCAGAGGUUGUACAGAACUGCCAGAAACUCCAUCGCUUUGGUACAGCGAUGCAAGGAAAAUAGAAACAGUAACAAAAGAAGACUUUGAAAUUCAAAGUUUUACAAAACAGGAUAUUUGAUUUGGAUUGUAUCUAGAAAUUGCAAAAGCUUGGCAAAGCAUCACUGAGGUACUGCAAAAUAUUUGUAAUCUGCAUAAUCUUUAUAUGCCACAGUCUUUCCCUCUACUGUGGGAGCUGUGAUGUAACCAUGAAUUUGUUAUUGGGGUGGCUGACACUAAUGUUCUUACAUAUUAAAAAAAAAAAAAAAAAAAAA